rnacentral:rRNA from 1 species
CCUACGGGAGGCUGCAGUGGGGGAUAUUGCACAAUGGGCGCAAGCCUGAUGCAGCCAUGCCGCGUGUGUGAAGAAGGCCUUCGGGUUGUACAGCACUUUCAGCGGGGAGGAAGGCGGUGAGGUUAAUAACCUCAUCGAUUGACGUUACCCGCAGAAGAAGCACCGGCUAACUCCGUGCCAGCAGCCGCGGUAAUACGGAGGGUGCAAGCGUUAAUCGGAAUUACUGGGCGUAAAGCGCACGCAGGCGGUCUGUCAAGUCGGAUGUGAAAUCCCCGGGCUCAACCUGGGAACUGCAUUCGAAACUGGCAGGCUAGAGUCUUGUAGAGGGGGGUAGAAUUCCAGGUGUAGCGGUGAAAUGCGUAGAGAUCUGGAGGAAUACCGAUGGCGAAGGCGGCCCCCUGGACAAAGACUGACGCUCAGGUGCGAAAGCGUGGGGAGCAAACAGGAUUAGAUACCCGGGUAGUC